UACGUAGGGGGCGAGCGUUGUCCGGAUUUAUUGGGCGUAAAGAGCGUGUAGGCGGUAAGGUAAGUCGGGCGUGAAAUCCCUGGGCUCAACCCAGGAACUGCACUCGAAACUACUUUUCUUGAGUGCCGGAGAGGAAAGCGGAAUUCCUGGUGUAGAGGUGAAAUUCGUAGAUAUCAGGAGGAACACCAGUGGCGAAGGCGGCUUUCUGGACGGUAACUGACGCUGAGACGCGAAAGCGUGGGGAGCAAACAGG
rnacentral:rRNA from 1 species